AUACGGAGGAUGCGAGCGUUAUCCGGAUUUAUUGGGUUUAAAGGGUGCGCAGGCGGCGAGUCAAGUCAGCGGUCAAACUGCGGCGCUCAACGCCGUACCGCCGUUGAAACUGGCGCGCUCGAGUUUGUGCGAGGAUGGCGGAAUGCGCAGUGUAGCGGUGAAAUGCAUAGAUAUUGCGCAGAACUCCGAUUGCGCAGGCAGCUGUCCAGCACACUACUGACGCUCAUGCACGAAAGCGUGGGUAUCGAACAGGAUUAGAUACCCUGGUAGUCCACGCGGUAAGCGAUGAUAACUAGUUAUCCGUUCCGAUUGGGGAAUGGGAGACCGAGCGAAAGCGUUAAGUUAUCCACCUGGGGAGUACGCCGGCAACGGUGAAACUCAAAGGAAUUGACGGGG
rnacentral:rRNA from 1 species